GCCCGCUUGGCUCAGUGGUAGAGCGUGUCACUAGUAAUGACAAGGUCAUCGGUUCAAUUCCGAUAGUGGGCA